UCCCGUUGAUCCUGCGGGAGGCUGCUGCUAUUGGGAUUCGAUUUAGCCAUGCAAGUUAAGGUAGCAAUACCGGCAAAAUGCUUAGUAACACGUCGAUAACUUGCCCUAUGGUUUGGGAUAACCUCGGGAAACUGAGGGUAAACCCGAAUAUGAGAUAAUGACUGGAAUGUCUCUUCUCUGAAAAGUAAUGCCAUAGGAUAGGUCGGCGGCGGAUUAGGCUGUUGGCGGGGUAAUGGCCCACCAAACCGAAGAUCCGUAGGGGCCUUGAGAGAGGUAGCCCCAAGAAGGACACUGAGAUACUGGUCCUAGCCCUACGGGGUGCAGCAGGCGCGAAACCUUUACAAUGCACGAAAGUGUGAUAAGGGAAUCCCAAGUGCUCAUGCUCUGCAUGGGCUUUUGCCAAGAUUAGAACCCUUGGAGAAUAAGUGGUGGGUAAGACUGGUGCCAGCCGCCGCGGUAACACCAGCGCCACAAGUGGGAGCCACAUUUAUUGGGCCUAAAGCGUUCGUAGCAGGUUUAGUAAAUCUUUUGUGAAAUUGUCAGGCUUAACCUAACAGUGUGCAGAAGAGACUGCUAAACUUGAGACCGGGAGGGGUCAGAGGUAUUCUUGGGGGAGCGGUAAAAUGCUAUAAUCCCUUGAAGACCACCUGUAGCGAAGGCGUCUGACCAGAACGGAUCUGACUGUGAGGGACGAAAGCUAGGGGAGCAAUCCGGAUUAGAUACCCGAGUAGUCCUAGCUGUAAACUCUGCGAGAAAGGUGUUGCACAUUCUUCGAGGAUGUGCAGCGUCGAAGCGAAGGCGUUAAUCUCGCCGCCUGGGAAGUACGGUCGCAAGGCUGAAACUUAAAGGAAUUGGCGGGGGAGCACCACAAGGGGUGCGGCGUGCGGUUUAAUCUAACUCAACGCAGAAAAUCUUACUAGAGGCGACGGCAGGAUGAAGGUCUAGCUGAAUACUAUACCCAACAAGCCGAGAGGUAGUGCAUGGCCGCCGUCAGCUCGUGCCGUAAGGUGUCCUGUUAAGUCAGGCAACGAGCGAGACCUGUGCCCAUAAUUGCUAGCGACUAAUUUAGGAUCGAGCACAUUAUGGGAACUGCCCUCGAAAGAGGGAGGUAGGUGCAGGCUACGGUAGGUCUGUAUGCUCCGAAUCUUCUAGGCUACACGCGCGCAACAAUGGUACGGACAAUAGGAUGCAACUCUGAAAAGAGAAGCUAAUCCCCGAAACCGUAUCUUAGUCCAGAUUGAGGGCUGUAACUCGCCCUCAUGACGAUGGAAUCCCUAGUAAUCGGGUUUCAACACGGCCCGGUGAAUAUGUCCCUGCUCCUUGCACACACCGCCCGUCAAAUCAACCGAGCAGGGUUUGGGUGAGACUCAGCUUAUUGGCUGAAGCGAAUCCAAGCUCGGUGAGGUGGGUUAAGUCGUCACAAGGUA
rnacentral:rRNA from 1 species